GCCAACAUGGUGUAGUGGUUUGAGCAUUAGACUAUGACUCUAGAGAUUAGGGUUUAAAUCCCAGUUUAGCCA